ensembl:lncRNA
CUGGAUCCAAACUCUGUGAGGAACGGGCAUGUGAACAGGUUUUGACCCUUCUCUUUAAUCAAGGUGGUCUGAGUUGGCAAAGAUGGAUCAAAGUGUCACUGAGACAAAAGCAGCAUUCACAGGAACAUUCUUCAAUCUCAGGAAGGUCCCGUGAUACAUCUGUUGGAAAUGCACUUCACAAGAGUUUAUCCAUGAGUAAGCAAAAGUAUAUUUUAACUCUUUAGUCCUCUUUCUAAUGUUUCAUUUUGUUCUGCCUUUAAUUUGUUACUUAAAUCAUAUUAUAAAUGAAUAUUUAAC